AUAGAAUACAACGUAAACAUAUAAUUUAUGUGACAUUGCUUGAAUAAGAGAGCUUUGGAGCCUGAUGGUUAGAUGCCUUACCAGUGUUGUAAAUAUUUGGAGGUCAACCCUAAAUCAGUGCACUUAGCAAUAGUUGAAAGCACAAAAUAAUCUAAACCGGCUCUAAAAGUGUGAAGGAAACGAAAAUUCGAUAAAUAUUUUUUAUUUUUUUUUAUGUUUGUUUUGUUAAAACUUUUGAAAAAUAUACUUUCCUAUGAAAACAGAGAAAAUAACGACAAGUGAUAUUUCAUAUUAAUUGUCUUAUACACCCUCUAACACACCUUAUUUUUAUUUCAUCAAUCUUGUAGCCCCCACUUCACCCCCUCCACCUUUUAGAAGUCUAUAAAUUGAAUGUUCAAUAUUUUUUCACCAUUGUCUUUUCACAAUUUAUAAUUAAAGAAAUAUGGGCUUAAAAGGUAAGUUAAUGGCUUCAAUAGAAAUGAAGUGUGGAGUACACUUGAUUCAUGACAUUUUUCACACAAAUGCACAUCAUAUACCCACUAUAAGUCGGGCUUUUAAUCGAUUUGAAAUUCAUGAAGGUGAAAUCAUAAAAUUUGGUUCAAUUAUUAGCUGGAAUUACAAUGAUGGUGGACAAAACAAGAUUACAAAGCAAAUUAUUGAAGACAUCGAUCCUCAUAAGAAAUCGAUCCGUUGGAAAUGUAUAAUUCUUUUACUAUUGCAAUAUCUUGUGAACGUCAAUGAUAAAAUGGACAAUCGAGUACGAAAAAAAAAUUGAAGACACUCCAGAACCCCUCAAUGAAUUGGGUAUCAUCCAAGCAUAUAGAGGACCACCUUGUCAAGAAUUAAAAGCUCUAUCUAUCUUUUGUGUGUGUGUUUACACACAUACAUAUCUAUGUGUGUUUGUAUGAUUAAUAAUUGGCAAGUUUUAGCCAUCUUGUGAAAUAAAUAAUGUUUGUGUUUGAAUAAUAUAUUUUAUGACAAGUCAUAAUGGA